rnacentral:rRNA from 1 species
AGAGUUUGAUCCUGGCUCAGGAUGAACGCUGGCGGUAUGCCUAACACAUGCAAGUCGAACGGAACCUUCGGGUUUAGUGGCGGACGGGUGAGUAACGCGUGAGAAUCUGCCUUCAGGAUGGGGACAACAAUUGGAAACGAUUGCUAAUACCCGAUAUGACGAAAGUUGAAAGAUUUAUCGCCUGGAGAUGAGCUCGCGUCAGAUUAGCUAGAUGGUGUGGUAAAGGCGCACCAUGGCGACGAUCUGUAGCUGGUCUGAGAGGAUGAGCAGCCACACUGGGACUGAGACACGGCCCAGACUCCUACGGGAGGCAGCAGUGGGGAAUUUUCCGCAAUGGGCGCAAGCCUGACGGAGCAAUACCGCGUGAGGGAGGAAGGCUCUUGGGUCGUAAACCUCUUUUCUCAGGGAAGAACACAAUGACGGUACCUGAGGAAUCAGCAUCGGCUAACUCCGUGCCAGCAGCCGCGGUAAUACGGAGGAUGCAAGCGUUAUCCGGAAUGAUUGGGCGUAAAGCGUCCGUAGGUGGUUUUGUAAGUCUGUGGUUAAAGCGUGUAGCUCAACUACAUAACGGCCAUGGAAACUACAAUACUUGAGUGAAGUAGGGGUAGAGGGAAUUCCCAGUGUAGCGGUGAAAUGCGUAGAGAUUGGGAAGAACACCGGUGGCGAAAGCGCUCUACUGGACUUAGACUGACACUGAGGGACGAAAGCUAGGGGAGCGAAAGGGAUUAGAUACCCCUGUAGUCCUAGCCGUAAACGAUGGAUACUAGGUGUUGCCCGUAUCGACCCGGGCAGUGCCGUAGCUAACGCGUUAAGUAUCCCGCCUGGGGAGUACGCACGCAAGUGUGAAACUCAAAGGNAAUUGACGG